CUUAAUGUUCUUAGUGGCGGACGGGUGAGUAACACGUGAGUAACCUGCCUCUGAGAGUGGAAUAGCUUCUGGAAACGGAUGGUAAUACCGCAUAACAUCAUGGAUUCGCAUGUUUCUAUGAUCAAAGAUUUAUCGCUCAGAGAUGGACUCGCGUCUGAUUAGAUAGUUGGUGAGGUAACGGCCCACCAAGUCGACGAUCAGUAGCCGGACUGAGAGGUUGACCGGCCACAUUGGGACUGAGACACGGCCCAGACUCC
rnacentral:rRNA from 1 species